GGCUCAGAAUGAACGCUGGCGGCGUGCUUACACAUGCAAGUCGAACGAGAAAUCUUAGCUUGCUAGAGAAAGUAAAGUGGCGCACGGGUGAGUAACGCGUGGGUAAUCUGCCUCCGAAUCGGGGAUAACAUUGCGAAAGCGAUGCUAAUACCGGAUAAAAUCUGGUUGGCUUCGGUGAACCGGAUCAAAGGUGGUCUCUUUAUAAAAGCUACCGUUUGGAGAUUGAGCUCGCGUACCAUUAGCUAGUUGGUGAGGUAAAGGCUCACCAAGGCGACGAUGGUUAGCUGGUCUGAGAGGAUGAUCAGCCACACCGGAACUGGAACACGGUCCGGACUCCUACGGGAGGCAGCAGUGAGGAAUUUUGCGCAAUGGGGGAAACCCUGACGCAGCAACGCCGCGUGAGUGAUGAAGGCUUUCGGGUCGUAAAGCUCUGUCAGGUGGGAAGAACCCACCAAGUGUUAAGACCACUUGGUGCUGACGGUACCACCGAAGGAAGCACCGGCUAACUCCGUGCCAGCAGCCGCGGUAAUACGGGGGGUGCGAGCGUUAUUCGGAAUCAUUGGGCGUAAAGGGCGCGCAGGCGGUUUUGUAAGUCAGAUGUGAAAUCCCGGGGCUUAACCCCGGAAGUGCAUAUGAAACUAUGAGACUUGAGUAUGGGAGAGGGAAGCGGAAUUCCUGGUGUAGCGGUGAAAUGCGUAGAUAUCAGGAGGAACACCGGUGGCGAAAGCGGCUUCCUGGACCAAUACUGACGCUGAGGCGCGAAGGCGUGGGGAGCGAACAGGAUUAGAUACCCUGGUAGUCCACGCAGUAAACGUUGAUCACUAGGUGUAGCGGGUAUUGACCCCUGCUGUGCCGGAGUUAA
rnacentral:rRNA from 1 species